CGACGCCGAAACGCUCCGAAGUACAGUCCUGUAAGUCACUGGUUCCUUUCUGUUUAGUCACGCACGCCCGUUAAGAAACAUUUUUCGUGCUCACCUGGGCAAGAAAUGAAAAACGCUGGAAACAUUCUGUGAACGUUAACUCGGACAAUGCGACUGUGGUACUAAAAUUUCAUAGGAGUGCCUUAAGCUGUGCAUAGAAAACAUUUGCAAUAUCUACAAUAUUGAGUGUAUUAGCACUACAAUUCGAGGUCACAAGAUCUGCAAUGCUGAAAUUGCAGAAAAUUAGGGAAAACCAAAUCGCUCCUUUUUCUUCGCAAGCAAGUAUUAAAAUUUCCAUGACGUGACAAGCGAAACGAACAAAGGGUUCUGUACUGGAAUUCGUUUCUUAUGACAAAAUUCAAUUGUUCAACUGCUUGUGUUUGCGCGCAGCCCCAGAAGCCAGCUGUUCACAGCCACCAAGGAAGCGCACCAGACACAACAAGCAGUCGGAGCUGCGUGAACUGUUCGCCGAUCAGCAAAGCAGAAGUGCCGAGCUCUUAAGACAGCACACAGACAUGAUAUUUCAACAGCAGCGGCCCCUUUUACAGGAGGAACGGAAUAAGAUGAAUCAAUUCAUGGCAAACACUACAACCUCCUUCCUUGAAGGCACUCGAGACCUUUUGCCACAGCCAACAGAUGCAAAUGACAGGCCACCAGCCAGCAGUGUUCAGCUUUCCUACACAAGGACCUUUCGUCAGAGCAGGGGUGGCCUCCAAUAUCACAAGCUUCCAACAAUGGCACCCGUCAAACUCGACGCAAGGAUGAACUAGCGCAACCAAACUUUUCUGGCUCAACCACAUCAAGGUCACCUCGCUCAUAGGUGACUCAUAUUAAGUGUGUUUCGUUGGGUGCUAGAAACAGCUGGUGCUCUCUGAUGUUCCUUAAAAAUUUGCUCACAGGCACUGUAGCACUCUAGUCACUUUCGUUGUUUUUUCUGCGAGUCUGUGGUGCUGUCUCGCGCACAUUUUGUUUUGCUGGACCCAUACUAAUAUUUUGCGCGUUUUAUCUCAGUAAGGAAUCUGGUGCCUAGCCAUUGAUUUUUUUUUUUUUUUUGCUGUGCGUCUGCUCACUUGUAUAUGGCUCAUAUUCAGUGUGCUUUGCUAAGUGCUGGAAACAGUUGGUGCUGUCCGACAUUUUUGUACUCUAGUCACUCUUGCUAUUCUUCGCUGUGGGUCGCUCUUAUUGCAUUGCCUACAUUUUUUACUAUUUCAUCAGAUAUCAAAAGGUGGGUUGUCUAUCCUGUCUGGUUAUUUUUUGCUGUCAGUCACCGUUUACAUGGUACUUACAUUUUUUUAUUUUAUCUAUUUUCUCGGGAGUGUGGGUGUUGCCUGCAGCAGUGACAGAACACACCUCAGAGUUCAAAAUGUAUUUCUCAUUCCUGCAGUCACCAAGGUAUGUGGGCUCAUCAAAUUGGUUAGGCUAUGUGCGUACGCAAGCCGCUUGCAUCCACUAAACUAAAACCCUCUAUGUAGCCAACCUUAGUGUAUGCACAUAGAUUCGUGAGCAGUACUUGUUUACCACUUCAAGGUCUGGACACACCAACAAAAUGUCUUUUUUAAUGAAGACAUUGGCCGUUCACUCCGGGUUGCUCGGGAUGGUAGGGCUGAUUUCCCUGCACAUUCAUUCUGCCAAGUAAGGUACAUACUCUCUUCUGGACAUAGAGCUAAACACAGUGCUGCACAUUGAAACUCUCUAGGUAUUCAUUAUUUUUGCAUGAAAGAGUAUGUAUAUAGGAAAAUCUGCAAGCUUGCUUAGGAAGUAAUGGUGGGCUAGUUGGUUGUACACAAUCUUCAAGAAACAGCGCUAUCAAUAGGACAGCGCUGUUUUCCAAGGGUCGUGCAAGCGCUCAUGACUACAUACACGUGUUCUUGGUUUAAUGUUACGUUGCAGUCAAAUAAAGCCAAGGGCAGCAACCAUAUGGAGCUAGAAGGCCUGAAGAGGUCACUGGAAACAUGCGAGGUUAAUGGCCUCGAGAUUUCAACUCUAGUGACUGACAGUCACCCUCGGAUGAAGGUGUUUACAUCAAAGGAGAUCUGCAUAAAGUACAACUUUGAUUUCUGGCACGUUGCCAGGUGUGGGUUCUGCUUUAACUUUUUUAGAAGCACAAGUACAAUUCAACCAUCUGGGCUCUCAAAUUUUAAUUCAUGAUGCAUCUGGUUAUCCCAAUUUUUAUGCAGUGCUCAAUCAAAAAAAAAAAGAAAAAAAAAAGCUGACAGCAGCAUCGCAGCUCAAGUUUCAGGAGCCGACUCCAUGGAUUAAGCCGGGCACAACCUGAGCUAGUUCUUGCUACAUGGCGCUCCCUUGUCCGUCAUGUCAUUGACAUUCACACACAUGAUGAGAACCUUUAUCCAAGGUGCGAGCGUGAGCCAUUGGCUAAGAAGUGGCUGGAAGAAGGCUAUGUGAACGACUUUCUAAACUGUGCUGUGGACCUUUGCCAGAAUGCAAGCUCCUACAGGAAGGCACUGGAACGAACCUCCACCAUAUGCCUCCACUUUCAAGCAACUUCCAAAGUGCUGACAAAGAAGCUCUCGUGGCAGCACAUACAAGGCGCUUUAAUAUUUGACUAACAUGGCAGUAGUUCACUGAACAAGACAUGUCACUUUGGCAGAAAACUCUGGGCGUUUAUUGAGGAAGAACUGCCAUCAUGCAUCCAGGUAGCCAGUGCAAUGCUCUCCUGCUGUAGGAAACUUUCCUCAUCCUAUAAACAGCACAGCUUCGUAGAACAACCCGGUUACCUUGACCAAGUCGCCUGUACACUCACCGAACUGUUGGUAUCAGUAUAGACUGCAAAAAAAGGAAACGCACAAUAAAAUAGAUUAAGAAAUGCACUGCAUGUCUAUCACAUGCCAUGAACUGUUCGUUUAAUUGUGUCUAAAUAAAACAAGCCCUCGAUCCAUUCCCUUUGUCUCGUUUAUGUCAUGCAAUCUAUGCAGCAGUGACUGGGCUUCACGAUUCUUUUUGGCCUCAUUGCUGA